GUGGGGAAUCUUGCGCAAUGGGCGAAAGCCUGACGCAGCAACGCCGCGUGGGGGAUGAAGGCUCUCGGGUUGUAAACCCCUUUCAGGAGGGACGAAAAUGACGGUACCUCCAGAAGAAGCCCCGGCCAACUACGUGCCAGCAGCCGCGGUAACACGUAGGGGGCGAGCGUUGUCCGGAUUUAUUGGGCGUAAAGAGCUCGUAGGCGGUUUGGCAAGUCGGGUGUGAAAUUUCGAGGCUCAACCUCGAAACGCCACUCGAUACUGCCAUGACUGGAGUCCGGUAGAGGAGUGCGGAAUUCCUGGUGUAGCGGUGAAAUGCGCAGAUAUCAGGAGGAACACCAACGGCGAAGGCAGCACUCUGGGCCGGUACUGACGCUGAGGAGCGAAAGCGUGGGGAGCAAACAGGAUUAGAAACCCCUGUAGUCC
rnacentral:rRNA from 1 species